rnacentral:rRNA from 1 species
ACGGGUGAGUAACGCGUGGGAAUCUACCCAUCUCUACGGAAUAACGCAUGGAAACGUGUGCUAAUACCGUAUACGUCCUUCGGGAGAAAGAUUUAUCGGAGAUGGAUGAGCCCGCGUUGGAUUAGCUAGUUGGUGGGGUAAAGGCCUACCAAGGCAACGAUCCAUAGCUGGUCUGAGAGGAUGAUCAGCCACACUGGGACUGAGACACGGCCCAGACUCCUACGGGAGGCAGCAGUGGGGAAUAUUGGACAAUGGGCGCAAGCCUGAUCCAGCCAUGCCGCGUGAGUGAUGAAGGCCCUAGGGUGUAAAGCUCUUUCACCGGUGAAGAUAAUGACGGUAACCGGAGAAGAAGCCCCGGCUAACUUCGUGCCAGCAGCCGCGGUAAUACGAAGGGGGCUAGCGUUGUUCGGAUUUACUGGGCGUAAAGCGCACGUAGGCGGACUAUUAAGUCAGGGGUGAAAUCCCGGGGCUCAACCCCGGAACUGCCUUUGAUACUGGUAGUCUUGAGUUCGAGAGAGGUGAGUGGAAUUCCGAGUGUAGAGGUGAAAUUCGUAGA